rnacentral:rRNA from 1 species
UGGGGAAUAUUGCACAAUGGGGGAAACCCUGAUGCAGCGACGCCGCGUGAGCGAAGAAGGCCUUCGGGUCGUAAAGCUCUUUUAUGAGGGAAGAUAAUGACGGUACCUCAAGAAAAAGCCCCGGCUAACUACGUGCCAGCAGCCGCGGUAAUACGUAGGGGGCUAGCGUUGUCCGGAAUCACUGGGCGUAAAGGGUUCGCAGGCGGAAUAACAAGUCAGAUGUGAAAGGCAUGGGCUCAACCCAUGUAAGCAUUUGAAACUGUAAUUCUUGAGAAGUGGAGAGGUAAGUGGAAUUCCUAGUGUAGCGGAGAAAUGCGUAGAUAUUAGGAGGAAUACCUGUGGCGAAGGCGACUUACUGGACACAAAUCUGACGCUGAGGAACGAAAGCGUGGGUAGCAAACAGG